rnacentral:rRNA from 1 species
ACCAUGCAAGUCGAACGAAGUUUUUCUUUCGGGAGGAACUUAGUGGCGGACCGGUGAGUAACGCGUGGGUAACCUGCCCUGUACAGGGGGACAACAGCUGGAAACGGCUGCUAAUACCGCAUAAGCCCUUAGCACUGCAUGGUGCAUAGGGAAAAGGAGCAAUCCGGUACAGGAUGGACCCGCGUCUGAUUAGCCAGUUGGCAGGGUAACGGCCUACCAAAGCGACGAUCAGUAGCCGAUCUGAGAGGAUGUACGGCCACAUUGGGACUGAGACACGGCCCAGACUCCUACGGGAGGCAGCAGUGGGGAAUAUUGCACAAUGGAGGGAACUCUGAUGCAGCGACGCCGCGUGAGUGAAGAAGUAUUUCGGUAUGUAAAGCUCUAUCAGCAGGGAAGAAAAUGACGGUACCUGACUAAGAAGCACCGGCUAAAUACGUGCCAGCAGCCGCGGUAAUACGUAUGGUGCAAGCGUUAUCCGGAUUUACUGGGUGUAAAGGGAGCGUAGGUGGCAAGGCAAGCCAGAAGUGAAAACCCGGGGCUCAACCGCGGGAUUGCUUUUGGAACUGUCAUGCUAGAGUGCAGGAGGGGUGAGCGGAAUUCCUAGUGUAGCGGUGAAAUGCGUAGAUAUUAGGAGGAACACCGGAGGCGAAGGCGGCUCACUGGACUGUAACUGACACUGAGGCUCGAAAGCGUGGGGAGCAAACAGGAUUAGAUACCCUGGUAGUCCACGCGGUAAACGAUGAAUACUAGAUGUCGGGUAGCAUAGCUAUUCGGUGUCGUCGCAAACGCAAUAAGUAUUCCACCUGGGGAGUACGUUCGCAAGAAUGAAACUCAAAAGGAAUUGACGGGGACCCCGCACAAAGCGGUG